rnacentral:rRNA from 1 species
AUUGAACGCUGGCGGCAGGCCUAACACAUGCAAGUCGAGCGGAUGAAGGGAGCUUGCGCCUGGAUUCCGCGGCGGACGGGUGAGUAAUGCCUAGGAAUCUGCCUGGUAGUGGGGGAUAACGUCCGGAAACGGGCGCUAAUACCGCAUACGUCCUGCGGGAGAAAGUGGGGGAUCUUCGGACCUCACGCUAUCAGAUGAGCCUAGGUCGGAUUAGCUAGUUGGUGGGGUAAAGGCCUACUAAGGCGACGAUCCGUAACUGGUCUGAGAGGAUGAUCAGUCACACUGGAACUGAGACACGGUCCAGACGCCUACGGGAGGCAGCAGUGGGGAAUAUUGGACAAAGGGCGAAAGCCUGAUCCAGCCAUGCCGCGUGUGUGAAGAAGGUCUUCGGAUUGUAAAGCACGUUAAGUUGGGAGGAAGGGCAGUAAGUUAAUACCUUGCUGUUGUGACGGUACCAACAGAAUAAGCACCGGCUAACUUCGUG